rnacentral:rRNA from 1 species
CGUCUAUAUACGUAUAGCAUAUCAAUAAGCGGAGGAAAAGAAACUAACAAGGAUUCCCCUAGUAACGGCGAGUGAAGCGGGAAGAGCUCAAAUUUGAAAUCUUCAAGGGUUUCCCUUGACGAAUUGUAGUUUAAAGAAGUGUUUUCGGUUAGAGGAGUAGUAAAAGUUCUUUGGAAUAGGACAUCAUAGAGGGUGAGAAUCCCGUAUUUGACCGUUAUCUUUCUAGCUGUGUGAUACACUUUCAAAGAGUCGGAUUGUUUGGGAAUAGCAGUCCAAAAUGGGUGGUAAAUUUCAUCUAAAGCUAAAUAUUGGCGAGAGAUCCGAUAGCGAACAAGUACCGUGAGGGAAAGAUGAAAAGAACUUUGAAAAGAGAGUUAAACAGUACGUGAAAUUGUCAAAAGGGAAGCGUUUGACACCAGUGUUGUUUUUCCGAAAAUCAAUUACGAAUGUUUUGUUUUUGAGGAGUUAUGACUUCAUCGGCUUGCUUCUCUCUUUACGAAACUUUCUUAAUGCACUUUUCGGUUAACAAGUCAACAUCAAUUUCUUUUGUUGUAAAAGGGUAUGAGGAAGGUGGCUUUCUUUUCGGAGAAAGUGUUUAUAGCCUUGUAGCCUCUGCAAUCGGAGAGAUUGAGGUCUGCAGCGUAGAUCCUUCGGGGUUAGAUACAGUUUGUGCUAAGUUAUAGCUUUGUCAUAGACAACUUGUUGACUAUGUUAGUCAUUGUAGCUUACUCGCAUUAUAGCUAUUUUACCUACGCUUAGGAUGUUGACGCGCGUGUGUGCGUG